rnacentral:rRNA from 1 species
AUUGAACGCUGGCGGCAGGCCUAACACAUGCAAGUCGAGCGAGCGGCGGACGGGUGAGUAAUGUCUGGGAAACUGCCUGAUGGAGGGGGAUAACUACUGGAAACGGUAGCUAAUACCACAUACCAUCAGUUGUGCCCAGAUGGGAUUCGCUAGUAGGUGGGGUAAUGGAUCACCUAGGCGACGAUCCCUACCUGGUCUUAGAGGGUGACCAGCAACACUGGAACUGAGACAAGGUCCAGACACCUACGGGAGGCAGAAGUAGGGAAUAUUGGACAAUGGGCGAAAGGCUGAUCCAGCCAUGCCGCGUGUGUGAAGAAGGUCUUCGGAUUGUAAAGCACUGUAAGUUGGGAGGCGUUACCAACAGAAUAAGCACCGGCUAACUUCGUGCCAGCAGCCGCGGUAAUAC